UACGGAGGGUGCAAGCGUUAUCCGGAUUCACUGGGUUUAAAGGGUGCGUAGGCGGCUUGGUAAGUCCGUGGUGAAAUCCCGGAGCUUAACUUGGGAACUGCCGUGGAUACUAUCAGUCUUGAAUAUCGUGGAGGUAAGCGGAAUAUGUCAUGUAGCGGUGAAAUGCUUAGAUAUGACAUAGAACACCAAUUGCGUAGGCAGCUUACUACUCGAUCAUUGACGCUGAGGCACGAAAGCCAGGGGAGCAAACGGG
rnacentral:rRNA from 1 species